rnacentral:lncRNA from 1 species
UGCUGGCCUCGGAGGAGGAGAGGGCAGCUGGGAUACCUCUGCGAGUUUCCCUCAGCACUCCGAGAGCCGCGGAAGGCGCAAACUGCUCUUGUGACCUCCCCAGUAAGCUGCGCCUCUGCCGUGCCUUCUCCUUGCUUGCUGUGUUCCGCGGUCUGGCCCGCAUCACCCCGCUGCCCUGAGCCGAGCCUGCCCUCGGCCCGUUCACCAACUGUUAAACCAGGGUCCUGAGUCUACAGGUUCUAGGUUUGGCUUCACCCCUGAGAGCAGUGUCCCAUGCAGCAGGCUCAGUGCUCCUCUCCGCGGAGCCUUCCUUUGGUGUCUUGGCGCCUCUCUCACAAGAAGCCAGCGCUGUUUGUUGGCAACAAGAUUCUUUGCCACUCAGAAACAAUCAAGAUUCCUCCUCCAGGGCACGAAUGGACUUGACUGUCUUUGCCUGGUGAACUGCCAUCCAGGAUCCCCCACCCACACAUUUUUGACCAUUCAAAAAUGAGCUGAGAGCCCUAGGAGAGUGCCAGGAAGGCCUAGCAAAACAGGAGGACGGUAAGAGAAGCGGUCCCACAUACAGUGGGAGUGUACCAUUAUCAUUUAGGCCUCUGGACACCACCGGAGUCCUCACUUUCUUCAGCGUAAUUUUGAGCCUCUGACGGGAAAUCUCAAUUCCAAAUUCCCAGAAGACGGCGUUGGUAAGAAAGGAGUGCUGGAUGAAGACUGUGGACCCAGGAGCUCCUUCACCAAAGGCGGCCCCAUCACCAGCUCAUACAGCCCUGCUGGUGGUGUUCUGCGCAUUUGCAGAGUGAUCCAGGUGCAGCAGGGCUCUCUGCCUAUGGCAUCGUGCUGCCUGCUGCUCAAGAGAUGGGCACAGGAAGUGCUAGAAGCGGCCAUGGGUCCAGCUCCCCAGCCUUGCUGAGCCAGGGAAGAAGAUGCAGAGAAAAAGCUUCCAAAGACACGGUCAAGGUAAAAACCCUCAGAGAUGAUUAUGAAGAUCUCUAUGCAUACAAACUAGAAAACCUAGAAGAAAUGGAUAAAUUCCUGGAAACAUAAAACCUCCCAAGUUUGAACCAGGAAGAAAUUGAAACCCUAAACAAAGACUCCAUCAAGGAAGAAUUCUCCACCCACAUCUUGAGUUGAAGGCCUUGUAAAUGGAAAAUGUCAAGGCUGUUAAUGCUGCCCGGGCUGCUGCUGUCUGCCACUGCUCCUUUGCCCUGGAAAGGCCAACUCUACAGAAAGCAAAUCUGCCCUGGGGGACCGUUUUCUUCCUGCUUAUGGUCAGAAGCCCCUUCCCUAUCAUUCAAAGCAUACCAGUUACUAUGGGAGAAGACAAUAACACUAAGAAAAAACAGGUGCCAGAGGAGACAAUGCUGUUUCUCCUUGUCGCAGAUCACUGGGGACAUUUGUGAUCAGAGCACAUCUACAGCUAGAAGGGACACCACCAUACCGGUAUUUGGAAAUACUUAUCUUCCCACUUUUUGUUGGAAUACCUGGGGAUCCCUGGCUAAUGCCUGAGUAGAACAUAUCUGACAGUGUACCUAUGCUUGAAGGUACCACUAUUCUUGCGUACACUUAGAGCACCCGGGGCUCACCUAUCCAGAGCACAGGUAGUGAAUAGGAACAGUCAGCACCACACCUGUGCUGGGAGAUACUACUGUUCCCGGCAACAUUCAGAGCAUGUGGAGAGCUUAUGGCCAGAGCACAUCUGUUGCAGUCAUAGGAGAAAAUGCCCUACAGUUUUAGGGGAUUCUUCUAGUCUCACCUAGGUCAGAACAUCGGGAGCUCACCCACCCAAUGUACCCUCUUUGACUUUGGAGGAGCCAGCACCACUGAGAAAAAUACCUAUGUGUGGAGACAUUUUUGCCACUACCUUUGGUCAGAGCAACUGUGCUUCCUGUGUACACAAGCAAGAAUCAACCUUGCUUUUAGGUUACCCUUGUCGUCUACCCAAGGCUUAACUGGAGACAAAUGUUGGGCCACAAACCCAUUCAUUAUCUUCCAGUAGAAGACCCAGGAUCUCAGCAAUUAAGGGAAAACUUCUACAAGCAGCAGGUCACCACAGUUCCCCAUAAAUGGACCUUACUCUGCUGAAGAGAGGCUCAAUCUCUUCUACUUGUGUCAAAUAAACUUCAGUUGCUCUCUGUCUUCCUCCAUCAAGCUGAAGGCUCACACCUGUGUGUGUGUGUGUUUUAGAGAUGUGAGACAGAUGAGGCUGGUCAAAUGUCAACAUACUGAACUUAAGGAGUACAACUGUGGAGAGUAGAAGAGUGAUCUGCACACAUUGUCAAUGGUGCCAUCCCUGGCUUUCACUGUUGGUCUGGCAGACCCUUCUCUGGAACAGUUUUCUUCUGGUCUUGGAACUGGCAGGAUGCCCACAGCUGCCUACAGCUGUCUCUUUUCCACUUGCCUCAAUGAGCUCUUAUCUUUCUUUUCACCAUUAAAAAUCAUAAAUCUUU